rnacentral:lncRNA from 1 species
GCCGAGGUGACAGCAUCAGGCAGCGCCCUGGGAAAUAGAGAGAAAGACAGACCGGGCUCAGGACGUGAGAAGGGCGUGGCCGGUCAGCCUUAGCGCCAGGAUUGAAGGAGGCAAUAUGUCAAUGGCUUCUGAUUUGGGAAAUGCCUCAGUAUUGGAUCCCAUAUCUGUGCCUGCUUUGGACAUUCAGGCUCCAUUGAAAAAGGCUAACAAGAAGGGAGGGCUUCCAGAGGCCAAGCGGAAAGGACGGGCCAAAAAGAUGAACAAAGAUGCCGAGGAUCUGCUUUUGGGCCUGCAGCAACUGGUAGGUAGAUCCCUUCAAUUGCCAAGCUCUGGGCUGAAAAAGCAGCUACAAAUUCUUCAUUUGGCCUUGGGAGAGAAC